CAGAUUUUAUACAGGUCUGUGGCACAGAGAGAUUGUUUUAAUUAACUUAAUUAGCUGUGAUGAUGGACAGCUGGAGGUUCAGAGCAAUACCCGGCUCUGUUUGGUCUAGAAAAUCCUCCACGGAAUCUAAAAGCCAGAAAUAAAUGAAUAAAACUAAAAUUAACAAAAAAACAAAAAAAUAAAACCAUCGCUCACCUUGCUUUAGAAAAGUGGAAUUCAGUAUUUCUGGAGGUAACUUUACAGUUGAGAAUAACCGCGAAUACAGAAAACAUACAAACAAACAAAAAAAGUUUAAAGUUUCUAAAACGCUCAGAAGACAAAAGAAAGAAUUGGCUUUGAAUCUGCAGCAGUUCCCCUUGCAGAGGACUGGAGAUUGCUUCAACGGUUCUACAGUGCCCAGAGCAGCUUGUGGGGUCCUGACAGGCUUCGGGAUGGAUGCACGAAAGUCGGGGGCCUUUUUUGAAAAAGUACCAUGAUGUAAAAUGCCAUGUGACUAAAGAAGAGCCAAUCAGCUUCCUCCUUUGUGAAUCCCCAGGUUUGAUUUGAUUGUUCUGCUCAGAGCAGUGGAUUACAAAUAUCCAGUGGAAAGGGAGGCAUGGAGGCACUGGGAUUUGAACCUGUGACAUGCUGGAUGGGAGACCAGUAUUCUACUGCAAUGCUGCGGAGGCUUGAUAACUAGCUAGGCUGCUUAUAAGACUGUUUGUACGUAGUUUGAAAAAUAGCAUGCAGGAUUUGAACCCAGGCCCUUGGGGAGGGUAACCGCCUAACAUACCUUUGCACUACCAAGCUUGGGGUGCAUAGUAGAGGUUGUAGGGUGAACUUGAACAAUCAGACACUUAAAAUAAUUGUGUAUAUUGUCUAGCAAGAUUUAUCCCAUUGUACAAUUU